ensembl:lncRNA
GGCGUAGAUUCAUUUUGCAUCGCUAUGGAUUCAUUUUAUACAGGCGUGGACUCAUUUUCUAUAGGUGUGGAUUCAUUUUGUAUAUGCGUUAAUUUGUUUUCUAAAGGCAUAGAUAGAUAUUCUAUAGGCAUUGAUUCAUUUUCUAUAGGUGUGGAUUUGUUUUCUAUAGGCAUUGUUUCAUUUUCUAUAGGCGUGAUUUGUUUUCUAUAGGCACUGAAUCAUUUUCUAUAGGCGUGGAGUCAUUUUCUAUAGGCAUUGAUUCAUUAUCUACAGGCGUGGAUUUGUUUUCUAAAGGCAUUGAUUCAUUUUCUACAGGCGUGGAUUCAUUUUGUAUAUGCAUUAGAUUGUUUUCUAAAGUCAUAUAUUAAUAUUCUAUAGGCACUGAUUCAUUUUCUAAAGGCGUGGAGUCAUUUUCUAGAGGCACUGAUUCAUUUUCUAUAGGUGUGGAGUCAUUUUAUAGAGGCACUGAUUCAUUUUCUGUAGGCGUUGAUUUCAUUUCUAUAGGCAUUGAUUCAUUUUCUACAGGCGUGGAUUCAUUUUGUAUAGGCAUUGAUUCGUUUUCUAUAGGCGUGGAGUCAUUUUCUAUAUGCAUUGAUUCAUUAUCUACAGGCGUGGAUUUGUUUUCUAAAGGCACUGAUUCAUUUUCUAUAGGCGUGGAGUCAUUUUCUAGAGGCACUGAUUCAUUUUCUAUAGGCGUGGAGUCAUUUUAUAGAGGCACUGAUUCAUUUUCUGUAGGCGUGGAUUUCAUUUCUAUAGGCACUGAUUCAUUUUCUACAGGCGUGGAUUCAUUUUCUAUAGGCACUGAUUCAUUUUCUAUAGGCGUGGAUUCAUUUUCUAUAGGCGUGGAUUUGUUUUCUAAUGUAUUCAAUUUAAUAGGUUAUUGUUUCAUUAGUACCAGCACAUUCCCAGGAACUUGUAUGGCAGAUGAUCCACAUAAUCUAAAAAAAACUGAUUUAAAAAAAAAGUGUGGUUAAUUAAGGAAGAAAAACACAUAGUUGUUUGUUAUUGUAAAUCUUUUUGUUUUUCUGUUAGGAGAUUCAUUAUAGAAGGAGUCUCCAGUGUCAGUGAACUUCACAUCUUAUCAGACUUCCUCAUGUUACAACUUUAGGUUCUAAGUAGCAUCAAGUGACCACAGUUUAUGGCUUGAAGAGCUAAGAAAAGCAGAAAAGUCACUAAUACUUUCCAUACUUUAAAACAGAAUUUAAAAUUAGGGACUAAUUAGGGACUAAAUCGUGCUAAACGGCAUUCAACAAGUUCAACUGUGUCCCAUAUUCUAAAGUCAAGAUCAAUUAUAAUAUGUUGUUCAAUUGAUACCUAGAACUAAAGGUACAAUUACGUCUAAUAGAAUGUAAAUUUAGAUUAUUAUUUCAUGCUCAAUAGUUUGUAUAAUAAUGUUGUUGUUUUUUUAAGUGUGAAUAAAGUCUUACCAGA